rnacentral:lncRNA from 13 species
AGGAGUAGGGGGGUAAAGGAUGGUGACUAGAUGUAGACCAGUCAUCAGGACAUUAAGGAGUAGGGGGGUAAAGGAUGGAUGGAUGGUGACUAGAUGAAGACCAGUCAUCAGGACAUUAAGGAGUAGGGGGGGG